GACGAACGCUGGCGGCGUGCUUAACACAUGCAAGUCGAACGGUGAAGCGCCUUCCUUUUUGGUGGGUGUGGAUGAGUGGCGAACGGGUGAGUAACACGUGAGUAACCUGCCCCCUCCUUCUGGAUAACCGCAUGAAAGUUUGGCUAAUACGGGAUAUUCUGGGUCUGUGGCUUGAUGGGUUUGGCAAAGCUUUUGUUUCGGUGGGGGUUGGGCUCGCGGCCUAUCAGCUUGUUGGUGGGGUGAUGGCCUACCAAGGCGGUGACGGGUAGCCGGCCUGAGAGGGUGGACGGUCACACUGGGACUGAGACACGGCCCAGACUCCUACGGGAGGCAGCAGUGGGGAAUAUUGCACAAUGGGCGCAAGCCUGAUGCAGCGACGCCGCGUGAGGGAUGGAGGCCUUCGGGUUGUGAACCUCUUUCGCCAGUGAAGCAGGCCUGCCUCGUUUGUGGGUGGGUUGACGGUAGCUGGAUAAGAAGCGCCGGCUAACUACGUG
rnacentral:rRNA from 1 species